CCUUGAAACACUACAUAAAUCACUGGCCUUCGGAAAGUGUCGUCUGUUGUGAAGUAUUAAGUGCCAGUCCUCUCUGAAAACCUCAAAAGCUAACGUGAAUCGCUGUCCGUAUAUUCUGAAGCCUUGAGAUAUUACAUAAAUCACUGACUUCCGGGAGGUGCACUCGUACAUUCUCUUGUGUGAAGGAAUGAGCGCUUAUCCUCACGUGCGCCAUCUGAAAACCUCCAAAGCUACCUUCAAAAGCUGGCUGUGUAUUCUGGGGAUGAAAACAUUGAAGGCGCACUCAUACAAGGUGAAGAAUUAAGCACACAUCCUCACACGCCAAGAUGAGUGGUUCGCUGUGUACUCUGGGGAUGGAUGCAGCUCGCGUCAAGGUGUUCUCUUUCCAGAAUAACCUUGAGUCUUCAUAAUUAAUAAGCCCCGGCUGGGAGAGAUUCAGCUGCCCCACUGCCCUUUACACUCCCGCCGCCAGCCACUCUGUUGUGAGCACCGUGGACGUGGGCACUGCUGCCAGCGUAAUUGUGGCUGUUGCUUCCUGACUAAACUAAAGUGUUUUUUUUUCUGAAACACGACAUAGUAAACACCUAAGAAAACCUGAACACAUCGAUGGCAAACGAAAGAAAAUUAAGUUGACGAGAAAUUUUGCGGCAUGUGGAAGCUUUAAAUGCUGUGAAUGAUCCCUGGCCAGUGCGCAUCGCUGUGUUUACAUCCCCACGCCACCAUGCGAUCUCACCUCUUCGUCCCCCUGAUCAACCCCUUCGUACCCAAACCCCACGGUGUGUACGUUGUCCUCCAGGAACCUCAACCGAGAGUCCGUGACAUCUCCGCAGGGCGCUCGAGGACUAAGGUAUGUCGUGGUGGAAGAGUUGGUAGCCCUGCACAUGGCCAUCCGAGAAUUACGUCACAGGUGGGCACAAGCCGCAGUCAUUCGCUGGCGCCUCCCUGCAGUCUCAGGUAGCAGCGGCGAUGCGUAGUGCUGUUGCUUUGUACUGAGUGAGCGUGAAAGAACCCUCGUGACGAUAUAUGGUGAUGGACGUGUGGGCCUUUACGUUGUGGAAAUAGAAGUUGAGGGGCGGGGAACACUUAAUGGGUGGAUGACCAUCAUCAGGACCGCCAUUCCACCGCAUUCAUAGCCAUCCUACCCGCGCUCAUCCAGUCACGUCCCCUUAGUGCAGCGCCCCUCAUCUGUAUGUAUGCUGAAGAGACACGGAAAAAUGAACACUCGUGUCUCUGUGAAAUAUUGUGCGCCAUAAAGUCUCUUGUCCUCUA